rnacentral:rRNA from 1 species
AGAUUGAACGCUGGCGGCAGGCCUAACACAUGCAAGUCGAGCGGUAGAGAGGUGCUUGCACCUCUUGAGAGCGGCGGACGGGUGAGUAAUGCCUAGGAAUCUGCCUAGUGGUGGGGGAUAACGUUCGGAAACGGACGCUAAUACCGCAUACGUCCUACGGGAGAAAGCGGGGGACCUUCGGGCCUCGCGCCAUUAGAUGAGCCUAGGUCGGAUUAGCUAGUUGGUGAGGUAAUGGCUCACCAAGGCGACGAUCCGUAACUGGUCUGGAGAGGAUGAUCAGUCACACUGGAACUGAGACACGGGUCCAGACUCCUA